rnacentral:rRNA from 1 species
GGGAAACUGCCCGAUGGAGGGGGAUAACUACUGGAAACGGUAGCUAAUACCGCAUAACGUCGCAAGACCAAAGUGGGGGACCUUCGGGCCUCACACCAUCGGAUGUGCCCAGAUGGGAUUAGCUAGUAGGUGGGGUAAUGGCUCACCUAGGCGACGAUCCCUAGCUGGUCUGAGAGGAUGACCAGCCACACUGGAACUGAGACACGGUCCAGACUCCUACGGGAGGCAGCAGUGGGGAGUAUUGCACAAUGGGCGCAAGCCUGAUGCAGCCAUGCCGCGUGUAUGAAGAAGGCCUUCGGGUUGUAAAGUACUUUCAGCGGGGAGGAAGGCGGUGGAGUUAAUAGCUUCACCGAUUGACGUUACCCGCAGAAGAAGCACCGGCUAACUCCGUGCCAGCAGCCGCGGUAAUACGGAAGGUGCAAGCGUUAAUCGGAAUUACUGGGCGUAAAGCGCACGCAGGCGGUCUGUCAAGUCGGAUGUGAAAUCCCCGGGCUUAACCUGGGAACUGCAUUCGAAACUGGCAGGCUAGAGUCUUGUAGAGGGGGGUAGAAUUCCAGGU